CGGGAAGACGCACCAGUCAGGUCAUUAGACCUUGAGACAAGCGUAUCAUGGCCCUGAAUGAAGGUUAAGGGCAUCAGUCAGCUGAGACUUAACCAGGAUAUGAUGGAAACAAGGGUAAAGGAGCUGGGUGAGUGUUUAGGCAGCUGGACGAGUGUUGGUUUGAGUUCAAUCAGCUCGGGUCAGCUGGUAUUCAGUUCACCAUGAUCUGUCCAGCUCACAGGAGCUGGUGGACUAGCUCACUCAGCUGGGAACAGCUGGAGGUCAGCUCCAUCCGGUGAACGGUGCGUUUUGGUUCGGAUCAGUGUGGGCGAGUCCGGGACGGUUACUGGGCGAGCCGAUGGUCCGGGUGCAGGACGGUUCGACCAAGUGGGUCUUAGGCUUGGGACAGGGAGUGGGCAAGCUUCCAGAGUGUGAGCUGAGGCUCAGUGAUCGAUUUGCCAAAGGAAGAAAAGGGGAGAAACCGCCAAUGGGCGGUUAUGGGGCGGUUAUGGGACGGUUUUGGGAAGAAGGGAUGUGAUUGGUUGGUAACUGUUCGCCCAGGCGGUUGGGGGCAGUUUAAAUCGUCUUCUCCCUCUCAUUUCUGCCAUUCUGGUCGAUUUUUACUCAACUUGACACAGAGAGAAACACAGAGAAAAUUCAAGAGAGAAAGAGAGACAC
rnacentral:lncRNA from 1 species